CCAUGCUUCAGCAACUAGCAGAAAAGUGCUUUUCUCAGGUCGAACAUUGAAUCGUUCCAUGAUUAGAGUGGUUUCUUCAGCUUUCCAUGGCUUCUAAGCUUCUGCAU
rnacentral:sRNA from 1 species